AACGCAUUCCCUCUUCUUCUCUGCAGAAACCCGAAAACAUUCGUAUCCUUCUCUGCUUAAACAAACGUUAACUCCCAACAGAACCAAUUUGUUGUCUCGUUAUAGUUUAUUUUUAAUUAAAUUAAACAUAAACAAACGUUAACUCCCAACAUAACCAAUUUGUUGUCUCGUUAUAGUUUAUUUUUAAUUAAAUUAAACAAAACAAACUUAUUGAUUUGUAAUAAUGAUGGCGGAGGAGCGGCGAGAGGUGCAGAUCUGAAUUCGACUUGAGUUGCGGCGGUGGAGGUUCUGGCUGUUCCAUUCCAUCCAAAGUUGCAUAAAUCACUCUGAACUGAACGAGGUUCUCUCCUCAAUACCUGAUUUAUUGAAGAUCGAGUUCCCUUCUUUGCGUAAUUUGAAGUCACUGAAAGUAAAAUCAUUCGUACCUUUGUGUUCUAUACCUGUGUUCCGUAUCUCAGCCGACUUUUUGCUUCAAAACUCACCGUCCGCAGAGGUUAGCCACAUACCAUACGUUGAUUAAGGGAAGUAAAUACAAGCACACCCUCUUGAUGGAUUACUUUUUCAGUUGAAACCAGAGCCUGAUAGGACAUACUAGUAGCUUUGGUGUUGGUGGGGAGACGGAGGGGGCACAUGGGCCUCUAGGGAACAAGAGACCAUGAUGGUCAACAUGACACCCAGGCAAACCAACCUCACACCCAGACUGACUCCUUCCCUAUUGACCGAUCAUAUGACCCCUAAUGGAUUUUCAAAGCGGCCUCUUUCUAUGAAAGGACAACGAUGGAAACACGUCGUUGUAGAGGAGAAGAGGAGAAAGAAGAAGGUGUGCAAAUGUUUGAGGAAAUGAACCAUAUUUAUAGGGGAGGGGGGUUUAAAAAAACGUGGGGAAGAUAUCAAUGUCGGUCAAAAAAACGUGUAGAAACACAUUUUUCAACUUGACCACCGUCCAAAACGUUUGAAAAACGUUUUCUUUAUGGUGCAGACCACCGGCCAAAAGUUUCUGGUGUAAUCUGGAAUACACAUAUAUUCCGGAAACAUACGAUGUUAGGGUGAAGAAAGGGAAACUUGAGAAUUUGAGUAUGGUGAGGGUUGAUUACGAAAUCCGGAUUUGCCUAGGGCGUAUGUGUGUUCCGGAAAACGAAAUCCGGAAUACCUCAACAUAGGAUUCUUUUGUAUGGACCACAUUGCACCAAGAGUUUAUGUGGUCCACAACAUCCAAGGACCUCUAUAAAUACAUCCUCUCCGGUUCUCAGCUUCAAUACCAUUAAAACACACAAACACACCAAAGAAAAUCAUGCAAAUUUUUGUCAUUAAGCUGAGGAUCUUUCUCAUGCAGUCGCAAAUAGAUGAUUUAGCUCUCUAUUUGACUGCAUGAUGAAGAUCCUCAGCAUGCUGUCAAAAAUAUAUAGAUACUCCUUGAUGCCUCCUUGAUACAUAGAUAAGUCAAAAAUAUCAAGAGGUUUCUAUGAGUUCGAUCCUUCUGCCUGCCAGAUGAAUAUGUCAUUUGGCAAGAUAGCAGGAUCGAACUCAAAGAAAUCCUCUUGAAAUCAUCUUCCCGAAAGAUUCAACAUUUAUGUUAUUAUGGUUUUUUUUCAACUGUUUAUUUGUCUUAUGUUGAUUCUAUUUAUGUUAUGCACCUUUGUUCUAUUUUUUUCCAAGACAUUUGCAACGAAAAUGAUCCAAACAAAAGGGUCUGAUGCAGUUUGGACUUUAAAAUCCGGAAUAGCUUCAUGCAUUCCGGAUUAUAACAUCCGGAAACCCUCAGUAACAUUUUGGUCGGUGACGUUUCACCAAAGGUUAUGCCGGUUAGUGAAAUUUUAAUACGUUUUUUUGG